rnacentral:rRNA from 1 species
UACGUAGGGGGCAAGCGUUGUCCGGAUUUAUUGGGCGUAAAGAGCGUGUAGGCGGCUAGGUAGGUCCGUUGUGAAAACUCGAGGCUCAACCUCGAGACGUCGAUGGAAACCAUCUAGCUAGAGUCCGGAAGAGGAGAGUGGAAUUCCUGGUGUAGCGGUGAAAUGCGCAGAUAUUAGGAAGAACACCCGUGGCUAAGGCGGCUCUCUAGUACGGUACUGACGCUGAGACGCGAAAGCGUGGGGAGCGAACAGG